AUGAAAAGAAGAAAGGAGAUAAGAAGAGUAAAGAUGAGAAGAGCAAGCCGAGAGUGAUGAUUCUAUCUUGCAUCUACUUUGAUCAGAAUCAUUGUGGUUAUAUCUUAGAGAGAGACUUGGAAGAGAUACUGUAUACCAUUGGUGUUCAUCUAUCAAGAGCUCAGGUAUGAAAGCUGUUCAGAAGGUGGUCACCAGAGACUGUUGGAAUUGCAGAAAGCUUACAGAUGAAGGACAAAGAUGAUACAUUAAACACGAACCUUCUGAUCUAGAUCUUUCUAAGGACACCCUAAAGAGUAAGGCCAGCUUCAAUAAAGCCACCUCUACCAACCUCAGCGGUGAGCUCCUGGAUGUCCAGAAGAAACUCUCUACUUCUGAGCGUGCUCACAGUGGCUCCUCCACCUGCUCCAAGAAGCUUAUUGAUGUCAUUGGGACCGCUCAGAAAAACCUGGAUGAAAUCAUGCUCAAAUUUAACGUGGUCCUGGAGGAAGCCCUGCUGCCCCCUACAGUCAAGAUUACUGAGAAGAUUAUUGAGAAAGGCAAGGAAGGUAUCAAGGUCAAGACAGAGAGCAAACCUGUUGUUAAAUAAAAAACAAAAAGCCCAAGAGUAGAGAAGUAGAGAUUGCAUGGGGUAGUUCAAUACUGCAAGCACUAAGAAAAGGUAAAAAAAUUAAUGCUUUUUAACCUUUAUUCAGGUAAUAUCACAUUUUUCAUACAUGCAAAAGACCCUAGAAAUUAUAAUCUUAUGUAAAUAAUCAUAGGUUGAAAUUACAUCACAAAACAAGUGGGAUAAUGCAUUCAAUGAUAAUAGUAAUACAAAGAAACUAUAAUAACUGUUGAUAAAACCCACAAUACCAUUCAUUUUGAAAAAGUAAAAUAAUUCAAUCGAUAAAGGUUCUUCUAGGUCAGGCCAUCCAUAACUGGACUCAUAUUUGUCGUUUUCAGACCCCUAUUAACAUUUGGAUAAAUUCUAUCUCUAAUUUAUGCAUAGAAUUUGUCAAAUCGUAUGUUUCGGUAUCAAAGAUUAAAAAAGUUUAUGUUAAACAAUAUUUUGAUGAUGUUUGGAAUCAUAGAAGACCGUAAAAUUAUUAUUAUUUUACAAAGAAAACCGUUAUGGUUUACUUUCGUAAACUAUUAAUAUUGGAUAUCCCGAGGUACCCAUCUCAAUGUCCACAUGUGAUUUUUUAGUCAUGAAAUGAAUUAUUCAUAAUUAAAUUUUCUCAGCAAUUGAAUGCUCCAUUCUUCAUGGUCUAAGUAUGUAUGGCAUGAUUUACCUGUGCUAAUAUUUUGAAAAGAUGUAUUCUCCAAUUCAUCACAAUAUAUGCAAUUUUGUCAUAAUUUUUCUUUUUGAAAAUUAUGCUAUUUUGUGACUAGGGCUGCAUCUUGUCUGCUCUUUUUACUGAAAGUAUCGAUAUCAAGGUAUUCUAGUUAGGAAGCAUUUCGUGAAACAGGUUUAGUAAGAGUUGAACUAACUCAGUGGUUGAUGGAUAAAGAUAUGACUAACUUGUCCAGGUGUUAAGAAACGGGCCCCAGCUUUGUUCGCAGCAGUGCUAACCAAUAGUUUAAUUGCCAAAUAUAUUUUGACAUUGUAGUAAGAUAAUUAUUGGUAUCACAUUUUAUUUCAUCCUGAAUAAACUGUUUAAAAAAUACUUUAAUAAUGAUAAUAAUAAUAAUGGAUAUUUAGAGGCGCUAAAAACAAAAAGUACCAUAGCGCGUACAAUGUAUGAAUAAUAAUUUAACAUGAAUAAUAAUUUAACAACUACAAUAUUCAAGAUAAAAAGGGAAAUUAAUUAUUGAGGAAAAAGGUAUGUCUUAAGGGAAGAUUUGAAGCCAAGAACACUGGAAGCAUUUCUUAUUGAAAGAGGGAUAGCAUUCCAAGUCUUGGCAGCUGCUACAGCAAAACGCUUUUCGGCAGAGGAGAGUUUUGACAAGGGAAUGCAAAGUCUGCAUGUGUCAGUGAUUGAACGAAGAUUACGAGAGGGCGUGUAUAAUUUGAUGGUAUUAUUAAGAUAUUCAGGUGCCAAUUGAUUUAGAGUUUUGUAUACAUAUAAACAGACUUUAAACUGAAUACGUUGGAAUAGAGGUUGCCAGUGGAGUUCCUUAAAUAGGGGUGUAGUAUGAGUUCGGGAUCCAAAGCCAAAAAUUAAUCGAGCGGCACGAUUCUGAAUAACCUCAAGUUUUCUUCUAUCCCUAUCUGACAAAACAGUAUAUAAACUAUUGCAGUAAUCUAACCGAGAAAGAUUAAGUGCUCGCACAGCAUGGUGACAUGUCUUAAGAUCAAUGAAUCUACGAAUCCUCCACAAGUUGCUGAGAUGAUAAUUACAUUUACGGACAACCUGAUUUACUUGAGCAAACAGUGUGAACAUGUUAUCAAUGCAUACUCCAAGAACAGUAGUUUUAGUGGAGAAGGGGAUGCAUUGACCAUUAACAUUUAGCUGGAUAUGUGAUAUUGAUUGCAGAUGGCAGGCAGAAGAACAGAGAGCUAUGAAUUCAGUUUUGCUAUUAUGCAGCUGGAGAUAAUUAGAUGACAUCAACCUACUUAUUUCGGAAAUACAAAGAGAGGUUUUCUCAAGUGUUUCAUUUAUAUUUUCAAAAGAGCGCGGGUCAAAGUAACAAUAAAGUUGUACUAUAUAUCGUCUGCAUAACAAAUAUACUGUCGACCAUGUUUAUUAAUAAUGUCAGAGAUGGGAGUGAUAUACAAACUAAACAGAAUCAGCCCGAGAACUGACCCUUGGGGUACCCCAAACUCAGUGACCCAUGGGUCAGACAACUCUCCGGCUAUGCUUACCUCAGAUGACCAACCAGUCAGGUAAGACUUAAACCAUUUAAGAGCUAGACCAGAUAUGUGAAAUCGAUAUUUUAAGCGAUUCAGUAAUAUGGUAUGAUCCACAGUAUCAAAAGCUGCACUUAGGUCCAAUAAGACUAAGAAAACACACUUAUGCUGAUCGAAAAAAGACAGAACAUCAUUCUGCAAUUUCAAAAGGGCUGUCUCAGUGCUGAAAUAGGAUCUAUAUGCUGACUGCAUUGGAUCGUAUAAGCCAUUAUCAUUUACGUGUUCUGUUAGUUGAAUUGAUACUACCUUUUCUAUCACUUUAGCAAUAUGUGAAAUAUUACUAACACCAAAUUUCUUGUCUUAUCCCAAAGUGUAUAAAUAUGUUUUGCCCAAUGAUGUAUGAAUAAGAUGGUGUCGUUACUUGUGAAUCCAUAGCAGUUCAAGGCAAACUUACUCUGUUUUGGGUUUUUUUUUUUGCUAAUUAAUGACUUUAUAUGAGAAUGGCUUUUCUUAUACAGGAAACGUUGCAAACUGAAAAUCAGGAUAAAUUUUAUUUGCUUUAGUUCAAUCUCUGUAGCCACUGGGAUAUAGUACUGUACAAUCAUAUUCUCACACUGUCAGCUAUUACACAUUCAAUGACAACCAAAUGAUCCAGGGAUGAUCUUAGUUAGCAAUACAGGUAACUCUGCCUAAGUCAAAUCUCUUGGGACCAAAUAAUAAUAAAUAUGUUCGACUUAGGCAAAAUUCAACUGAAAAGAGGUAUAUAAUAUAACACAUAUUUUGAACAAUCUGAUCAAAGAAUUGCUUCGACUUAGGCAGAGUUACCUGUAUAUGAUAGGGAUACUUUGCUCAUUAUUGUGACCCUGUUAAAUGAUAGACUCUCUAAGUUGCAUGACAUGUAAUAAUUACAUUUUCACUAUAAAUUCAAUUGGAUUGCAUUUUUUGGCCCUUUGAAAUCAUGUGUGGUUAUUUGUUGGAAGUACCAAUUUUUCUGUAUGUAACUUACAUUUAAACUUGGAUAUUGUUGAUUACGACAUUGCUUAACAUUCCAAUAUUUAAAAAAAAUCAUUUUUAUGGAUGGUUUUAUCAAAGAUGAGUUAAUAUGAAGUAUGAUGCAGGUGAUUCAUUAAUAGUCAUAAUUUAUUGACCAGCUUUAUUACUUGAAUUAUGAAUGAUGACAAAACAUAGAACACUGAAUCUAAGUGAAAUUGUAUGCUACUUUGUGGGAAUAAAUGAUAUGAAUAAAAGUCAGAUUUCUUCAUUAUGCACUUGAAAAGAGAUUACUAAAAGACACUUGUAAAAUUAGGGAUUUGUUUGAAUCUAUAAAAGACAGAUUUUUAUUGUUUUUACAAGAUUAGGGAUUGCAAAGUACAUACCUGCUCAAUUAAUACAAUCUUUCCCAUACUAUGUUGUUUGUAUAAAGUAAUAAGUGUAAAUGAUAAUUGAAAGUUUCAAAAUUUGGAAGGGCAUGGAAUAGCGAUACAUUAUAAUAGUUCUUACAUAUGCUCUAAAAAGCAGAAAUUGGUUUGUAAUUGUGUAAUGAAAUAAAAUAAUUUGGUCAUCCUUCUAUGUUCAGGCAGGGAUGAAAUGACACAAAAUAAAUUAUUUUGUUUUAAAGAGUAUGUGGGGAUGAGUUCUUUAAUAAUUUGCUUUUGAAUGAUACAUUAUAAUUACACAUUGUAAGGCAAAUGUUGUGCAAGUUUAGAAUAAGGGGGACCCACAUUCUCUGAUAAGUAAUAGCAUAUUUGUGAAAUGCUAAAUCUACCCAUUGAUAGGAUAUUCAAAAUGGACAUCAUAGAUUGAUUUGAAAGUAUAUAUUUUUCUUGUGAGAUAAAAAAUUUCUUUCCUUAAUGUGGAACUGGAAA